rnacentral:rRNA from 1 species
GCGCGGAAAUAUGUAUGUGGUGGCGGCUUCCGUUCAUCGGUUCGUCUUGGGUUGGGUUUCGUUGGCGACGCUAAGGAAGGGAGUCUUCCUUUUUUUUUUUCUUCUCCUUUCGUAGGCGUCGGCGGCGCUACUAGGAGGCGUAGGCGUCGGCGCUGCCGUGACUGGCGUAGUGCCACGGCCUGCGCCGGCGGCGGUGGCAGCCGCUGGACGUCGCGGAGUAUCUCCGCGCGCGGUGGCACGGGCAGCGGCGGGUCGCGGAGAGGGAGCUGGGCCGGGACGAGGAGGGGCGGGGGGUCGGCGGCGAGGAGCGGCUGGGCCGGCGCGGCGAGCGGAGGGACGGGGAGCGGUUGCCGAGGAAGCAGAUGGAGAGCAUGGGCGGGCCGCGCGCGAGGCGGGUCGGGGGCGGCGGGUCCCGGGAGUGGCGGCGGCCGAGGAAGCCGUUCUUCUACUGGUACCUGCUGGAGUAGCGCGCGGUCUAGGCCCAGUGGGCGGUCCUCCGCGGGAAGACGAGGCGCCGGAGGAAGCUGGCGCUGAGCCGGUUGCGGAAGGUCGAGGUGCAGAGGCUCAGCGAGCGGAAGCGGCAGUUCGCCCGCCCCAAGGAGAUGCCGGCGCAGCUGCGGCUCUGGUUCCUCCACGACCAGCUGAAGUAGAUGCUCGGCGGCGUCGUCCCCAGGAGCCUGCACCAGGUGGACUACGCCCUGCGGCUGCUCCUCCGGGCGCACCUGCGGUAGCGGCUGCCCGAGCCGUACGCGGCCCACCCCAAGCAGAAGUGUGUCCGCCAGCCCUCCUUCCGGUCGCUCUGCCCGCUCAUGUGGGACAGGUUGUCGCUCCACCAGGUCCGGCGGGUCGACGUCCGCCUCCCGCCCUAGGGCCUCACCCAGUGGCGGCACCACUUCGACCUCCACCCCCUCCUGCCGAGCCGCCUGCACGUGAAGCUCCGCAAGGUCUACUCGCUCCAGACGCAGUUCGACAAGUUCCUGCCGCACGACCUCUGCCUCUAGGUCCUGAGGCUGCUGGGGGCGGAGAGGUUCUACGCGUUCCUCCACUAACGUCCUCCCUUCCUGUGGUACCUCCACCUGUUGCUGAAGAAGGACCACGGCCACUUCUAGAGGCUAGUGGUCCCGGGCGAGAGUUACCCUAAAGGCUAACUUUUGGCACCCUAAGGAGACGGCCGCUUGCGAGAGUCCUCGGUGUACCUAGCACGUUUCGUAGAGGGCAAGCAGUUCGCCUAGAGACUAAAGGUGGACGAAGAGGUCUAGCGACGAAAGGACCUACAGUUCCGGCUGCACGGAUGAGACCGACGCACGCACCCUGUGGUCCGGCUCCACGGUCUCCCGAUGGCCGAGGACUAGCUGCGGAACCGUCCAGUUUGUAUUGGUCUCUCCCAAAGGACUUUGUUUCUGUGCCACAGUAAAUCGUCGAACGAGAGUCAUAGUAGAGUACACACUAAAUAUACUUACAGAGUCCACACAUUCAGAACAAAUUUUGAGCAUAUACGCUAAUGGUAACGUGUUUCCCGCUGUACAAAGUAAAACUACGACUUAGACCAGUAUAUGACGAACUUUGCGUUCAGAAAACCACCAACAUAUAACGGAUCUACAAAUCAAAAAAAAUGUAAACGUAACGGAUAUACAACCCUUUCCCUGUUUGUAACUAAAACGUUCCGGUC